rnacentral:rRNA from 1 species
UCAGUAACACGUAGUCAACAUGCCCAGGGGACGUGGAUAACCUCGGGAAACUGAGGAUAAACCGCGAUAAGUCACUACUUCUGGAAUGGGUAAUGACUUAAAUCUAUAUGGCCCCUGGAUUGGACUGCGGCCGAUCAGGCUGUUGGUGAGGUAAUGGCCACCAAACCUGUAACCGGUACGGGCUCUGAGAGGAGGAGCCCGGAGAUGGGCACUGAGACAAGGGCCCAGGCCCUAUGGGGCGCAGCAGGCGCGAAACUCUGCAAUAGGCGAAAGCCUGACAGGGUUACUCUGAGUGAUUUCCGUUAAGGAGAUCUUUUGGCACCUCUAAAAAUGGUGCAGAAUAAGGGGUGGGCCAGUCUGGUGCCAGC